rnacentral:rRNA from 1 species
UACGUAGGGAGCGAGCGUUGUUCGGAAUUACUGGGCGUAAAGCGCACGUAGGCGGCUUUGUAAGUUAGAGGUGAAAGCCUGGGGCUCAACUCCAGAACUGCCUUUAAAACUGCAUCGCUUGAAUCCAGGAGAGGUGAGUGGAAUUCCGAGUGUAGAGGUGAAAUUCGUAGAUAUUCGGAAGAACACCAGUGGCGAAGGCGGCUCACUGGACUGGUAUUGACGCUGAGAUGCGAAAGCGUGGGGAGCAAACAGG